GGAUGGAGUGUUGGCGCGAGGACUUCGCGUGAGGCCGUGGAUUCGAUGGACGCAUCGUGGAUUCGAGGCGUUGUGGCUACGAAGAUUUGCAGCAUGGUCGAUUGGAGGAGUUCGUUUGAUCGAGGACCGGCGAAGACGAUCUACGACGAGGAUUCGGUAAAAGUUGGAUCGUGUAUUUGGUAAAUUACUUGUACUCAAUUUUAUUCAUAGUGGAUUGUUUCGUGUGAUCGGUCCCGUAGGUUUUUUACUCCGAGUUGGAGUUUUCCCACGUAAAAUUUCGGUGUGCUGAUU
rnacentral:lncRNA from 1 species